rnacentral:rRNA from 1 species
AGGUCAAGCUACAAAGGGCGCAUGGUGAAUGCCUUGGCAUCAGGAGCCGAUGAAGGACGCGAUAAGCUGCGAUAAGCUUCGGGUAGGCGCACAUAGCCAGAGAUCCGAAGAUUUCCGAAUGAGGAAACUCACAUGGGAAACCCCAUGUAUCAUAAAGUGAAUACAUAGCUUUAUGAAGGUAUACCCAGGGAACUGAAACAUCUAAGUACCUGGAGGAAGAGAAAGAAAAAUCGAUUUUCUUAGUAGCGGCGAGCGAAAAGGAAAGAGCCCAAACCAGAGAUUUAUCUCUGGGGUUGCGGACAGAACAUAACGAGAAAUCAUAGUUAAUUGAACACAACUGGAAAGUUGGACCACAGUGGGUAAUAGUCCCGUAAGUGAAAACUAUGAUAAUCAGUUCUGCACCAGAGUACCACGAGACACGUGAAACCUUGUGGGAAGCAGGGAGGACCACCUCCCAAGGCUAAAUACUACCUGAUGACCGAUAGUGAAGCAGUACCGUGAGGGAAAGGUGAAAAGAACCCCGGGAGGGGAGUGAAAUAGAACCUGAAACCAUGUGCCUACAACCGAUCAGAGCACCUUAUGUGUGUGAUGAUGUGCUUUUUGUAGAACGAGCCAACGAGUUACGGUAUGUAGCGAGGUUAAGUACUUAAGGUACGGAGCCGAAGGGAAACCGAGUCUUAAUAGGGCGACUAGUUGCAUGCUGUAGACCCGAAACCGGGUGACCUAUCCAUGGCCAGGUUGAAGCGAGGGUAAAACCUCGUGGAGGACCGAACCACGUUGCUGUUGAAAAAGCAUGGGAUGAGCUGUGGAUAGCGGAGAAAUUCCAAUCGAACUCGGAUAUAGCUGGUUCUCCUCGAAAUAGCUUUAGGGCUAGCGUCGGAAAAUGUGAGUAGUGGAGGUAGAGCACUGAAUAGGCUAGGGGGCAUAGCGCUUACCGAACCUUAUCAAACUCCGAAUGCCACAUACUAUCAGUCCGGCAGUCAGACUAUGAAAGAUAAGUUCCAUGGUCAAAAGGGAAACAGCCCAGAUCGUCAGCUAAGGUCCCAAAGUGUAAGUUAAGUGGAAAAGGAUGUGGGAUUUCUAAGACAACUAGGAUGUUGGCUUAGAAGCAGCCACUCAUUAAAAGAGUGCGUAAUAGCUCACUAGUCAAGAGAUCCUGCGCCGAAAAUGUCCGGGGCUCAAACUUACCACCGAAGCUACGGGUUCACGCUUAUGCGUGAGCGGUAGAGGAGCGUCGUAAUCGGGCUGAAGUCGUACCGUAAGGAGCGGUGGACUGAUUACGAGUGAGAAUGUUGGCAUUAGUAGCGAGAUGUAGGCGAGAAUCCUACAGGCCGAAUAUCUAAGGUUUCCUGAGUAAAGUUUGUCUUCUCAGGGUUAGUCGGGACCUAAGGCGAGGCCGAAAGGCGUAGUCGAUGGACAAUUGGUUGAUAUUCCAAUACCACUAUAAUCGUUAUUAUCGAUGGUGUGACGGAGAAGGAUAGGAUGUGCUAGCUAUUGGAUGCUAGUCUAAGCGUUUAGGGAGUUGGGAUUGGCAAAUCCGUUCCAACAAUUCUGAGGCGUGAUGGGGAAGGUUCUACGGAACCGAAGUAUCUGAUUCCAUGCUUCCAAGAAAAGCAUCUAGAGAGAGAAGUAGUGCCCGUACCGCAAACCGACACAGGUAGAUGAGGAGAGAAUCCUAAGGCCGACGGAAGAAUUGCAGUUAAGGAACUAGGCAAAUUGACCCCGUAACUUCGGGAGAAGGGGUGCCUGAGAAAUCAGGCCGCAGAGAAUAGGCACAAGCAACUGUUUAACAAAAACACAGGUCUCUGCUAAAGCGAAAGCUGAUGUAUAGGGGCUGACGCCUGCCCGGUGCUGGAAGGUUAAGGGGAACACUUAGCGAAAUAUCGCGAAGGUGUGAACUUAAGCCCCAGUAAACGGCGGCCGUAACUAUAACGGUCCUAAGGUAGCGAAAUUCCUUGUCAGGUAAGUUCUGACCCGCACGAAUGGCGUAAUGACUUGUGCACUGUCUCAACUGCAAAUCCGGCGAAGUUGUAGUGCGAGUGAAGAUGCUCGCUACCCGCGAUUGGACGGAAAGACCCCGUAGAGCUUUACUGUAGCUUAGCAUUGAAUUUCGGUAUUGUCUGUACAGGAUAGGUGGGAGACUGGGAAACUAGGGCGUCAGCCUUGGUGGAGUCGUUGUUGGGAUACCACCCUGAUAGUAUUGAAGUUCUAACUGGAUGCCAUGAAACUGGUGACAGGACAUUGUUAGGUGGGCAGUUUGACUGGGGCGGUCGCCUCCUAAAAUGUAACGGAGGCGCCCAAAGGUUCCCUCAGAACGGUCGGAAAUCGUUCGAAGAGUGUAAAGGCAGAAGGGAGCCUGACUGCGACACCUACAAGUGGAGCAGGGACGAAAGUCGGGCUUAGUGAUCCGGUGGUACCUCGUGGGAGGGCCAUCGCUCAACGGAUAAAAGCUACCUCGGGGAUAACAGGCUGAUCUCCCCCAAGAGUUCACAUCGACGGGGAGGUUUGGCACCUCGAUGUCGGCUCGUCGCAUCCUGGGGCUGAAGUAGGUCCCAAGGGUUGGGCUGUUCGCCCAUUAAAGCGGCACGCGAGCUGGGUUCAGAACGUCGUGAGACAGUUCGGUCCCUAUCCGUCGCGGGCGUAGGAAAUUUGAGAGGAGCUGUCCUUAGUACGAGAGGACCGGGAUGGACUGACCUAUGGUGUACCAGUUGUUUCGCCAGAAGCAUAGCUGGGUAGCUAAGUCGGGAAGGGAUAAACGCUGAAAGCAUCUAAGUGUGAAGCCCACCUCAAGAUGAGAUUUCCCAUAGCAUAAGCUAGUAAGACCCCUUGAAGACUACAAGGUUGAUAGGUCAGAGGUGUAAGUAUGGUAACAUAUUUAGCUGACUGAUACUAAUAGGUCGAGGGCUUGACCAAUAUANGUGUAAAGGCAGAAGGGAGCCUGACUGCGACACCUACAAGUGGAGCAGGGACGAAAGUCGGGCUUAGUGAUCCGGUGGUACCUCGUGGGAGGGCCAUCGCUCAACGGAUAAAAGCUACCUCGGGGAUAACAGGCUGAUCUCCCCCAAGAGUUCACAUCGACGGGGAGGUUUGGCACCUCGAUGUCGGCUCGUCGCAUCCUGGGGCUGAAGUAGGUCCCAAGGGUUGGGCUGUUCGCCCAUUAAAGCGGCACGCGAGCUGGGUUCAGAACGUCGUGAGACAGUUCGGUCCCUAUCCGUCGCGGGCGUAGGAAAUUUGAGAGGAGCUGUCCUUAGUACGAGAGGACCGGGAUGGACUGACCUAUGGUGUACCAGUUGUUUCGCCAGAAGCAUAGCUGGGUAGCUAAGUCGGGAAGGGAUAAACGCUGAAAGCAUCUAAGUGUGAAGCCCACCUCAAGAUGAGAUUUCCCAUAGCAUAAGCUAGUAAGACCCCUUGAAGACUACAAGGUUGAUAGGUCAGAGGUGUAAGUAUGGUAACAUAUUUAGCUGACUGAUACUAAUAGGUCGAGGGCUUGACCAAU